rnacentral:rRNA from 1 species
CAAGAGCGUAUAUUAAAGUUGUUGCAGUUAAAAAGCUCGUAGUUGGAUUUCUGGUGGGAGCGAUCGGUCUGGCGCUUAGCGCGAGUACUUGCAUCGUCUCCGGCCAUCCUUGGGGAGAGUCUGUCUGGCAUUAAGUUGUCGGGCAGAGGAUCCUCAUCGUUUACUGUGAAAAAAUUAGAGUGUUCAAAGCAGGCUUAUGCCGUUGAAUAUAUUAGCAUGGAAUAAUAAGAUAGGACUUUGGUACUAUUUUGUUGGUUUGCGCACCAAAGUAAUGAUUAAUAGGGACAGUUGGGGGUAUUCGUAUUCCGUUGUCAGAGGUGAAAUUCUUGGAUUUACGGAAGACGAACUACUGCGAAAGCAUUUACCAAGGAUGUUUUCAUUAA